GGGGCAAGAAGGGGGCGGCUUCCCCCCCCUCCAGUUUAGGAAAGUGUCCCUUAAGCGGCUUUCAAAUGGACCAAACUCAGCUGUUGGACUGGGAUGAAGACGAGGAUCUCGACGAUCCUUCUGACGGGGUUGGUGGCUCUGGGGAGACCCCCAAGCCUGUGGGACGCCUGCAUCUUCUGAGCAGCAAGUAUGGCCCCGAGAAAGAUUUCUGGAUCUAUCCUGGGGAGAAUGUCAUUGGUCGGCUGGAAAGCUGUCAGAUCUGCUUGCCGGCUGCUUCUGUUUCUAAGACUCAUGCUGUGAUUGAAGUGCCCUCCCCCGACGGGCCACACCUCUUGUAUGAUCAGGGCAGCCUGAACCGGACCCGGCGGCAGCGUGUGGUGCUGAUCCCCCAGGUCCGAUACAGCCUCCAAGAUGGGGACACCUUGCUCUUCGGGGACGUGGGGUGCCAGUACUUCCUGCUGGCCCCAGGGGGUACCUCAGAAUCCCCCGAUGACUCUGUGGAGGUGCCUCCCACUCAGACGGACGCGGAGGCCACUGGCUUGGCCAUUGAGGAGACGCCUGCGCCGGGCAAGAAGAUGGGCUUUGGGCAGGUUCUGGUCCAGGAUUCUGACAAGGAGGAGGAAGGGGAAGAAGGGGAGAACGAGACCAGCAGGAUCCUGCAUCCCCCAGCGAGGGAUGGAUCUGUCAAAGAUGGCACUGGAGGAUGUUCCAAGUUGGCCACCUCCAUGUUCUCCUCUCCUUCAGCUACUGUUGUACCUGAAAGUGAUGAGGAGGGUGGGGAAGCUCCUGCCAGUGAGCCGCCUUGUCCCUCCCUGCGUCUGUGCUUUGAGAGUCAGGAUGCUGAGCCAGGCUCUUUGGAGAAUGGAGUCACUGCGCCUUCAAGCCAAGACCGGCAUCCUCCUCAGCCAGCAGCUGCCCAAACUGAAGUGUCCCCAGAGACAGGAGAAGUGACCACGAAAGAGCAGGCAGCUCCCACAGGCCCUGGCCUCAUGGACUGCCACCUGGACAGUGACACAGACCUAGAGGAUGAGGAGGGAGUGGGUGGUGCCUCUGAGGCAUGCGCAUUAGCGGAGGACAGCAAGGCCUUAGAAUUGGGCAGUGGCGCUGGCAAGGAUGAGCCUGUGGGGGUGAAUCCAGGUGCUGGUAGUCAAACAAACAACCAGGUGGCACUCAGUGUGGGUCGCAAUGCGGAUGUGACGGAGGAGGCAAAGGGCCCAGACCUCCAAGGGCUGACGGCCCAUCAGGCGGCUGAACGUAACGAUGGCAGCGGUGCAGAUCCUGACAGGGGCACAGAGAAUCAACAUGUAUCUCUCGCCCACCAACAGUCCUGCCCCCAAAAUCUGGAUGGCCACAAAGCAGCCAAAGGGUCUGAAAGCCGCCAUAAUUUUGCCCAAGCCAAACCGGAUCAUCUGUCUGAUGGAGAGGAGGACCGUAACCCAGAUGCGGAGGAGGCUGCCGAUAAUUCAGGUGUGUGUGAGCAGGACAUGCCGCCCACAGAGAGUGAAUCUGGCAGUACAGAUAUGGAGGAUGUGUCUCUUAAAGUGCCCAACCCCGAUGCACUUCCGGAGACCCCUGAGCUUGUUGACUGCAGUGAUGUUGAUUCGGAUGUUGCACCAGGUGAGCUGGUGCUGCAAAACUCGGAUGUCGCUGGUCCUCUCAGUCCCCUCAGCCCAGUUGGCAAGGACAGCAGCUCAUGUGCAGAAGAGAGCCCCACCAAGGACAAUAAUUACCUGGAUGAAGGGGCAGGGCAAGAUGCUGCUGCAGGGGAGGUGAAGGAUCCGAAUGCGGUACCCCAGAGGACUUGCAGAGCUGUUAAUGAACAGACAAGGGACUUGGACAGCGAGGAUCCCCUGGAAACCCCUGGGGUUGUGGUGAGUGCAUCUGUAGUGCCUCAGGUCCCAUCCCUGCCCAUUCUUUCUGUGGAUAGUGAUACAGAUGUGGAAGAGGAGCUUGAAAAUCCAGAGGUGGCCCCGGAGGAGAGCCAUGUCAUUGCUAGUCCCAGCAGAGAAGGACUGGGUAGCUGCCUUGAGAAGCCAGAGGUUGGUCCCCAGGAGAGCGCUGGAUCUGUUGAAGACACGGACAGUGAUACUGAUGUGGAAGCAGCUUCUCCAUUCCACAAGGACUCGGCGGCUGAAGGCGUGGAGGAAGGGAGUGUCCAGGGGCCAGAGAAACCCCUGGACGAGCAAGAGACUCAGUUAUUAGUCCCUAUGAGCUCCUCUGUAGAUGGGGAGAAAGGCCCUGGCUCUGUGAUGGCCAUCAGAGUCCAAGAAGAAUCUCGCCAAGGGGAGGAAGAAAUGGACAUGGAGGAAAACGGGUCGCAUUCAAGAGGCAGCAGUGGCACUGAAGAUGACCCUGACCUGGCUUUCCAGGCUACACAGUGUUUCCUGCCUUCUGAGACCUCAUCUCCCAAGACUAGAAAGGAGAAAGAUACCGGAGCGACAGAUUCCAGUUGUGCCCUGGAAGAGGAGGCCACUCAGGCCUUUGGCGCAGGGGACGAACUAAAGGCGGCCAGGCUCCACCUGGGGAAAGUCUCUGUGAUGGUGCCCUUGUCCCCAGGAAGCUCUACGGGCAGUCCAGGGUCCAGCUCUCCUUUGAAAGACGACGACACAGAUCCAGAUGCUUACAUGCUGGAAGCCACUCAGUCAUUCUGCAGGGAGUUGUCAGAAGCGCCCACCCAGGACUUUGGGUCCAGAGAGGAGGAAGACGCGGAACUGAUUUCCCAGUGCCCAGCUGAAGCGGAAGGCCUCCCUGAGCUGGCAGCACCGCCUGCAGCUUCAGCCUCAGCCUCUAGGGGGCAGCAGGCUGCCAGCAUUCUGGGGGAGAGUGCGCAGCCCCUUCCCACGGGCCUGCCUGGCACGGAGCUUCCCUUACAGGUAGCAGGGGAAGCUGCUGGGGAGGAAGCAGCGAAGGAAGGAGAAUCCCAGCCUUUCUCUUCAGGGCAAGCAAUCCCUGUGGGCAGCCACCAAGCCUCCAUACCUCAAGAGGUGAUGGAAGCCUCCAGAAGCGAGCAGCAGGAAGCCCCUGAAGGCGGAGGUCCUGUGGAAGCUGCCCAGACAUGGACAGCUCGUGUUGAGGGUGAGUCAGAAGAAAGGAGCACAGUACCUGUGGGAGAAGUGAGAGAUGCUGAACAGGUGCUGCAGCAAGCCCAGGAGAAGGCCGCUGAAUCCCCGGCCCCGGCCCCUACCCCUGCCCCUGGGCGGCGGCGUAGCCUCCGGUCCUCUGCCGCGGGUGCGUCCCCAGCUCCCGCCUCGGAAGGGCGAAGCCUUCGCCACCGUGGCCGGGUGGGGUCUGGUGAUGGAGAGGGGUGCAGUGAACCGGCUGCUCCCGUCCCGAGACGCAGGGGGAAGCGGCAACUCAGCAACCCAACCCAGUAUAUGGGGGAGCCAGAGGCCAAGGCGGAGCAGCCGGAAGGAGGGGGAGCGAGCUCCAGCAAGAAGCCCAGGAAAGGCGAGCCGACGGGUGCUGUGCGUCAGGGCCGGGCCAGGUGCUCCCCAAGGGGACCCAGAACUGCCAGCAAGUUGAAGGAGGAGACGGCAAAGGCUGCACCCAGCCCAGGGGCCAGGAGCACAGCAAGGCGGGGGAAAUCGAGAGCUGCGGCAGAACCAGAGCAGGAGGAGCUGCUGGAGCCGCCUAGGACCCGGGCCAGCAGGAGAUCGGGCAGUACUUCAGUGAGCACACCAAGCCCAAAGGACUCGGGGACAGAAGUCAGACCUGGGCAGGGGCUGUCACAGGCCACGCCGUCCUCCAGGAGGAGGUCGCCGCGCCUGAGCACGGAAGGCAAGCCAGCGGGUGUGAGGGCCCCGUCCCGGAGGCGGUCCGAGGGCGCGGCGGACUCUGGCGUUCCUGCCCCAAAGGUGUUGUUCACUGGGGUGAUUGAUGAGGAGGGGGAGCGUGUGGUGACAGAGCUCGGGGGGACUCUGGCGGACUCCGUCUUCGACUGCACCCACCUUGUGACGGACCGCGUGCGCCGCACGGUCAAGUUCUUGUGUGCGCUGGCACGGGGCAUCCCCAUCGUGACCCUGGAUUGGCUGGAGAAGAGUAAGCGGAAAUCUUCCUUCCUAGCACCAGACAGCUUCUUUGUCUGUGACCCUGAGCAAGAGAAGAACUUCCAGUUCAGCCUCACCACGUCCCUGCAGAAAGCUCAGGAGGAGGGAGGCCUGCUCCAGGGCUACGAGAUCCACGUCACCCCCAACGUUAAGCCUGAGCCCGAGCACAUGAGAGACAUCGUUCGAUGCAGCGGAGGGACCUUCCUGCCCCGGAUGCCGCGAGCCUACAAGGACAAGCGUGUGGUCAUUUCCUGCGCCGAGGACCUGCCCCGCUGUAAGCCAGCGCAGGAUGCCAGGGUGCCUGUUGCCGAUUCGGAGCUCAUCCUGACGGGGAUAUUGCAGCAGAAGAUCGAUUUGGAUGCCCACCGGCUGGAUGGAGGGGCGCUCCCUCCCCCUGCCACCAGCCCUGCCGCUCCCUCCACCAGGGCCAGCAAGAGGAGAGCGGGGGUCCAGACGGCCCCAGCCCCACCCAGCACAGCCAAGAGACGGCGCUGAUCCUGCAGCUCGCCUCUGAACAUGGAGACCUUGCCUUAAAUUUAAUGGGAAUGGGGAGACAAGACGGGGUGCCGUGAAGGUUUCUGGGAUAUCAACUGGAGGACUGGGGAGAACAAGCCGGGAUGAGCCUGAUGGUCAAGUCUGGGUUUGAUUUGGCAGCACAGAAACGCCUCCUCCUGGAUACCUUGCAUAAAGACAGGAUGCAGCGCCGACAAGCCAGAUGCUGUGCGGGGCCCUUGAACUUGCCCAGCCAGAGUUCUUUACAAAGGACAGCCAGAUCUUCCUUGUCUUCUUCAGGCUGAGCCUUCAUUUUUGCUGGUAAUCUGCAGGAAGGAAGUAUAACAACAGUUACUGUAAGUGAGUCUCGGUAAGUCUGUCUGUAGUCUUAAGUGGUUCAGCCUUUUUAUCCCCCUUUUUGGAAGAUGGAGUCUUAGCCUCGAUGUAGCAGAAUCCAAAAAGUAAUAUGUUUAUCUGGAUUUUAUCACUUUUGG